rnacentral:rRNA from 1 species
GUAGGGUGCGAGCGUUAAUCGGAAUUACUGGGGCGUAAAGCGUGCGCAGGCGGCUUUGCAAGACAGAUGUGAAAUCCCCCGGGGCUCAACCUGGGGAACUGCAUUUGUGACUGCAAGGCUAGAGUACGGCAGAGGGGGAUGGAAUUCCGCGUGUAGCAGUGAAAUGCGUAGAUAUGCGGAGGAACACCGAUGGCGAAGGCAAUCCCCUGGGCCUGUACUGACGCUCAUGCACGAAAGCGUGGGGAGCAAACAGGAUUAGAUACCCUGGUAGUCCACGCCCUAAACGAUGUCAACUGGUUGUUGGACGGCUUGCUGUUCAGUAACGAAGCUAACGCGUGAAGUUGACCGCCUGGGGAGUACGGCCGCAAAGGUUG